UACCAGCACCCCGAGUGGUCGGGACGAUUAUUGGGCCUAAAGCAUCCGUAGCCGGUUCUGCAAGUCCCCCGUUAAAUCCAGCUGCUCAACAGAUGGGCCGCGGAGGAUACUACAGAGCUAGGAGGCAGGAGAGGCAAGCGGUACUCAGUGGGUAGGGGUAAAAUCCGUUGAUCCAUUGAAGACCACCAGUGGCGAAGGCGGCUUGCCAGAAUGCGCUCGACGGUGAGGGAUGAAAGCUGGGGAAGCAAACCGG
rnacentral:rRNA from 1 species